UGGUUACACACAGCGCAGGGCAGGGCUAACAACCAAUCAGCAGUGAAAGCUCAGCACCCAAAGUGGCCUCACAUACACACAGGGCAGAGUUUUUUUCUGAGCCAUGUGCGUCGUCCCUACCAACGUGGAAAUCUACGAUGUGGCUGGCAAGGCGCUCGGCCACCGCUGCGCUGCUGGCCGCGAUCAGCCGGCGGGACAUCAGAUCAAAGGGCCCACCUGGGCGACACAAGACGAGAGGAAGCGCAGUGUCAGCCGUUUGUUUCGACGCUUCAUCUCCUCCCACGUUUGGCCUCGGUGCGGUCGAGUGGCACGCGCCGACGCCUCUUUGAAGUUCACCGACAAUGCCUGACUUCAAAUUUGAACAAGACUGGCUCGCGAUGGGUUGCAAGGCAUGUCGGUGACGGUGCCCUUGAAGCAAGCUAUGUUCAGUGAGGACAUACUGAAGGUUGGGAAG